rnacentral:tRNA from 1 species
GCCCGCCUAGCUCAAUCGGAUAGAGCGUCAGACUCUUAUGCAGAGGAAGGGCAUCUGAAGGCUGCGAGUUCGACCCUCGCGGUGGGCU